GACGAACGCUGGCGGUGUGCUUAACACAUGCAAGUCGAACGGUAAGGCCCUUUCGGGGGUACACGAGUGGCGAACGGGUGAGUAACACGUGAGUAACCUGCCCUCAUCUCUGGGAUAACAGUCGGAAACGGUUGCUAAUACUGGAUAUGAGCUUGCAAGGCAUCUUGUGGGUUGGAAAGAUUUUUUUUGGUUGGGGAUGGACUCGCGGCCUAUCCGCUUGUUGGUGAGGUAGUGGCUCACCAAGGCUUCGACGGGUAGCCGGCCUGAGAGGGCGACCGGCCACAUUGGGCCUGCGAUACGGCCCAAACUCCUACGGGAGGCAGCAGUGGGGAAUAUUGCACAAUGGACGGAAGUCUGAUGCAGCAACGCCGCGUGCGGGAUGACGGCCUUCGGGUUGUAAACCGCUUUCAAUUGUGACGAAGCUUUUUUGUGACGGUAGCAGUAGAAGAAGCACCGGCUAACUACGUG
rnacentral:rRNA from 1 species